GGUGCUGACGAGUGGCGAACGGGUGAGUAAUGCAUCGGAACGUGCCCAGUCGUGGGGGAUAACGCAGCGAAAGCUGCGCUAAUACCGCAUACGAUCUAUGGAUGAAAGCGGGGGACCGAAAGGCCUCGCGCGAUUGGAGCGGCCGAUGUCAGAUUAGGUAGUUGGUGGGGUAAAGGCUCACCAAGCCAACGAUCUGUAGCUGGUCUGAGAGGACGACCAGCCACACUGGAACUGAGACACGGUCCAGACUCCUACGGGAGGCAGCAGUGGGGAAUUUUGGACAAUGGGCGCAAGCCUGAUCCAGCAAUGCCGCGUGCAGGAAGAAGGCCUUCGGGUUGUAAACUGCUUUUGUACGGAACGAAACGGCGAGCUCUAAUACAGUUUGCUAAUGACGGUACCGUAAGAAUAAGCACCGGCUAACUACGUGCCAGCAGCCGCGGUAAUACGUAGGGUGCAAGCGUUAAUCGGAAUUACUGGGCGUAAAGCGUGCGCAGGCGGUUUUGUAAGACAGUCGUGAAAUCCCCGGGCUCAACCUGGGAAUUGCGAUUGUGACUGCAAAGCUGGAGUGCGGCAGAGGGGGAUGGAAUUCCGCGUGUAGCAGUGAAAUGCGUAGAUAUGCGGAGGAACACCGAUGGCGAAGGCAAUCCCCUGGGCCUGCACUGACGCUCAUGCACGAAAGCGUGGGGAGCAAACAGGAUUA
rnacentral:rRNA from 1 species